CUGAGGAUGUGGGACGAGGACCCCCACUGUCUCUGAGUACAGGGCCUCAGACCUAAGGCAGGAGCACCCCCUACGCCAGACCUCCUGGGUCACAGGAAAUGCACAGACAUUGGGAAGGGGCAGAGGACGGAUGGAGGAAGGAUGUGCAGUUGCAGCUCUUUCUGCAGAUGCCCUGAGAGAGGAGCAAGAAGGUCCUCGCCAGAUGCUCCUGGACUUGCUUUGGACUUUCCCUUGCUCUUGACUUCACAGCCUCUAGAACUUUGAGAAAUAAAUUUCCGUUUGGUAUAAA
rnacentral:lncRNA from 1 species